CUUGGAAGUCUUGUUAAAAUGCAGAUUCUGAGUCAGUGAGGACUGAGGUUUUGCAUUUUAAAUGAGCUCUCAGAUGA
rnacentral:pre_miRNA from 1 species